UACGUAGGGGGCUAGCGUUGUCCGGAAUCAUUGGGCGUAAAGCGCGUGUAGGCGGUCCGGUAAGUCCGCUGUGAAAGUCGGGGGCUCAACCCUCGAAUGCCGGUGGAUACUGUCGGGCUAGAGUGCGGAAGAGGCGAGUGGAAUUCCGUGGUGUAGCGGUGAAAUGCGCAGAUAUCAGGAGGAACACCUAUUGCGAAGGCAGCUCGCUGGGACGUAACUGACGCUGAGACGCGAAAGCGUGGGGAGCAAACAGG
rnacentral:rRNA from 1 species